rnacentral:lncRNA from 1 species
UCUCAAGGGCAAUUGAGAUGUCAGUGAGGCUGUGAUUAAAUGUAUUGGAUAUUAGAGGAUUUUAAAUACAAACAAGUAUUAUAGGUGUUACCACUGACCCCGAAGGUAAGAUUUACUGUGAAAAUUUAUAAUGCAAGGAAGAAUGAUCAAGUUGGCUGUCAGAACAACAAAAUAUUACAAACCAGGAUGUCUAAGAGCAGAAGUCCGUGGUUGCCACCUCUCAAGCCUCUUAGCUUAAUCCAAUCUAGGAUGCAUUUCCACUCUGCAACAAACAGUAUUUAUUUUUGCCUUAUUUGCAGAUAACAGUUUUAAUGCAGGUACUGCCCAUGGAUUAGCUUUGAGCAGUGUCUUUUUGCUUUGGUUUUUUUAUUUGUUUGGUUUGUUUUGAGACUGAGUCUCAGUCCUCCAGCCUGGGCAACAUAGCAAGACUCCCACCCCUUAAGAAAAAAGAAGAGAGAAAAAAAUAGAAGUUGUGGAGAGGGAGGAGGAUGCUUGAAUACUUUGACCGUACUUGGCAUAAUAGACAUUUUGAGGGUUUUUUUGUUUUCUUAAAAUUCCUCUGGAUCAGUUUUCAUUGUUUCUAGUAAUUAUAUUUAUCGUUAAUGAAUUCAUAUUCUGCUCUAGCCCCUAAAGAUAGUUUGAUAUGCUAACUUUUGUUUUGCCUUUCUAGCUGCUAAGAUAGAUAAUGGUUAUUGCAAAAUGCACGUUUUUAAAUGGUCUCCAGUGUGGAUUGCUUCUGAGCUGCUGAUGGAUUGAAUACAUUGAGAAGGAAUGUGUCAUUUGGAAUCCAGGACCAGUCAGCAAGGAUAACUGCCUGAUUUUAUGGUCAGAAUGCUCUAACUCUUAUGGCAUACUGAUGACUUUUUCUUCCAUUUUCCAAAAAAGCAAGUUUUGUCAGUCUCAGUGUUUCUCUGAUCUAGCUACUCACAAUUCCAUUCCCAAAGUAGUGACCUAGUUCUGUCACUUGGGUUUCAAAGGGAGUUGAAGUGUCACUGAGUGAGUACAGCAAACCUGUUUAAUGAUUUAUAGGAAGCAAAUAAAAAGAAUUUUGUUUGCUAACCUAGAAGUAUAUCAGAUUUUGGUUUCAAUUUAUAAUUUUGCAAAAUAUAAAGACAUUUCCUGGCUAACUCCAUCCAGAUGAAUUAUUCAGUAUUUUUUCUCCUAUCUUAAUGAAGUUAAUUUGAAUGCUAAUUUCCUAUAACCAAGAAAACAGUUGAAUUAAAUAACCCUUAUCUUUUAAACUUAAAGCUUAUACUACUAAUAAUCAUUUAACAUUCACUUCCUUUUUUCUGACUUAAUUGGUAGGUAAAUAAAAUACUUCAAAUUUGAUUGGCAAAUUGGAAAAUCACUUAGAACAAUCUGCUAGUAUUUUUUAUUCCCUUUGUUUUUUCCUUUACACAUUUGUACUGCAAAAUAAAUCAAGGACAAAGACUCACACUGAAUUGAUCAACUUGUGUUUGGUCUUCAUGGGAAUUACAUCUUUUUUCCCCUCAACAUUUAUUAAAGGAACAUACAGAAUUUCAGACUAUAGCAAACUAAUACCUUUAGCUUGACUAAGAGUUGAUUUUCGUUAAGGAACAGAACUUGUAAUUUAUUUCGACAUACUUUAAUGUAUGACUCAUCCCUGUUAAAGUUGUGAGACUCAAAACUACGCCCAAAUCACUUAAUUUUAUGUCCUUCCCUGUUUACUGUGUCUGACCUUCAAGAUUUCGUGACUGAUGCUGAAAUGGAAGCCAACCACUGCAGAAAUUUGGGGGAAAAUGAGAUCUGAAGAAUACAAGGGGAAGUAGGAAUUCAUUUCUAGCAUUUCCAAACCUGCUUAAUCGUGUCUGCUCCACCACAGUCAGAGGAAAAGACUGAGUUCAUGGAAAUUACCAGCUAAGCCUUACAUCUGUCUUUAAUGUUUUUAGGAAGUAUACUGAAAAGGUAAGUGAGAUGUCUGUUUUGAAGAAAGACUCUUACUGGGUACCUUAAAACCCGUUGUUUCCUAUUAGUAAAGAUGGGCAGCUUCUUUAUUCCUAGCUUCAAAAAGCCUUGCCCCUGUUUGGUGUGUUUCUCAGUAUUGUGGAGAAGGUAGUUUCUGAGCAAGGUGGUGCUUUUCCUCUGCUUCUCAGCAGCUAAGACAGAAAUUGCACCGAAGUGUACAAAGGGCCAAUUUUUGUUGUCCUGUUGUGCUCAAAUCCUUUUUUUUAAAAAAGUUAUUUCAAUCAAGUCUUAGUUUUAUUCCUCACUAUAUAGGAAAAAAAUCUUUAAUGCCUCAAAAGUUCCAUUCAGCAUUACAUUUGCAUUACUCUUAUUUGCAGCAAAUAUGAGUAAAAUUAUAGGUUUUUAAAGGUCUCUAAUAACAUCCACUUAUAUUGGUUUUGUAGAUAAUCCAUAAAUUACCAGAAAUAAAUUAUUCCACAUUUAUUACACACCCAUGUAAUAGAUGUCGUGCCAGGCCCUGGAAUAUACUAAUGGCAUCACCUCAUGUGGUAAAAAGACACAUUCCGCCAUCCUGGAGUAUACAAAGGUAGACUAGCAUAUAGUUCAUGUGCUCAAGGAGUUCAUUUUUAUUGACAUGAUACAGAUAGAAUUGUAGUUUAGGGAAUCAAAAUCUAAUAAAAUGAGGCUAAUUCCAUUUUCCCAUUAACACUAAUAACUAGUGUGUAAAUCUGAAUAUGACACAUUCUAUAUGAAAGAAGCUCUGUGUGCAUCUACACUAAAUACUCGUGUGUGCCAGGUACUGUUUUAAACUACGUAUAUUUUUUUAAUUCUCAUAACUGUUCUCUGAGGUAUGUACUAAUACUAAAGCUUAUUGUUAAAGGAAGGCAGAAAAAUUAAGUAACUUGGCCUAAGUUUGCAUAACUGUGAUCUGGGAUCAAUAUUUGAACCCAUACAGGCUGAUUGCAGAGCCUGCACUCUUAAUUUGAGUGUGAUAUUUAUGUGCAGUACCUGGCUAUAAGUACCCACAAAACGUUUCAAAUUCUUUAUAAAAUUUGCUUAGUUAAAAAAGUACCAAUUGCAUAAUAUGGUUAUAAGUCUGGUAGAAGUUAGGCUUUUUACAAGACAUGCUGCUUACUGCACCAAGGAGGCAAGAAGGCUUUUUAGAGAGCCCAGAAUUUCCUUUCCUCAACUCCUGCUUCCAAGACAGUCAUUUUGCAUGAUAACCGUUUCCCCAAAAAACACAGACACAAAAUUUAAAGAACUGGAACAGAGGAAGCAGAGCUUAUCAUAGUAUAUAUGUUUAGUACCCUGUCACUUAGGUCCACCCCUCUUUCUUUGUGGAUUGUGGACAUUUUGUUUAACUGCUAAAUCAUGAGAAUAUAUGACUGCUGAGACUUUUCCAAGGAUUUUUUAAAAAACACAUUAGGCUUUGUGCAGAAGUAAAGAAAAAGUGCUGUGAGAACCCCAGGUAGGUAAUUUACUUUCUAUUGUACUCAUAGUUUGUUUGAAACCUCUUCACCUCUAUCCCUUAUUGUUUUAUACUCUGUAAAUCUGAUUUUACCUUUAAUAAACUUUUCUGAAGUGAAAAAAAAAAAAAAAAA